rnacentral:misc_RNA from 1 species
GAGAAAUUGUUCUUGUGGGGAAGGUAUCAUUCUAAUUCCUGCAAACUUUCUUUUGCUUUGUUAUCUGAUGUGGUAAAAUACAGUCUGGAAGUAUUUUGACACUUUGGAAACUUUUAAAUGGGAGAGGGCUUCUAGGGUUUGACCCUAACUUCUUGUUUUACAAGAUAGGCACCCGACCGUUGGGCUACUAGCUCAAUGGUAAAGUAUGCAUAUUUUUAUUGUAGUAAAAUGCUGGAUAUAGACCAUGCUCUAUACUAUCCAAUUCUAUCAUUUCCUUUUCCACAACAAUCAUCAUGUCUCUUAUGCUUUUCUUCAACCUUUAUAAGAUGAUCUUUUUAAUAACCAUUGCAAACCUCUGUUUCCUUUAUGCCUGUCUGGAUAUUAUGUUUCCUUAAGUCUGGAGUUAC